CCUUUUUGCUCACCCAUCCACCUCAAGCGUACGCGCCCAUCAAAUGGAAUAAUCUCCUACUAGCUAGCUAGUGCGCAUUUUAUGAUAAAUAAUGUGAAAUUGUCAAUUAUCUCAUCUCUUUGAUUGAUUUCUGCCUUAUUAACAUGAACUAGUCACUAAUGUAUUGGCUUAGUAUUGCAUUUAUCAUAAGAAUUCAAUUUUUUUUUUCUUCCACAUAUGUGGGUAGAUUAGAAAUCUCCGUAAAUGUUAGUGGAAACGAAUUUUUUAAUUGAUUUCAGUAGACCACUGGACUGUACCAUACAUAUUUAUAUAUUUUGAUUCUCCACAAACUUCAGAUAAUUAAGAUAUCAUGCCAAUAUUCAUACCAAAAUAUACUUAGAAAUUCUAUGAUGAAAUCAUGAACUUGUAACAAGACUGUAUAUAUACUACACAAGCCAAUAUGUAUUACGAAUUUCAAAUGAGUAUAAUCUUUGCCGACAGUGUCGUGUAGCCGGACCCCACUAAUAAAGGUGACAAAAAAUUAACUAACGAAGAGUAGUUUUACACGCUUGGAUAUUAUCGAUAUAAGCAGCGAGUGCGCCAUUGGAGGAUAUGAGGGGAAGUUGGAUUGAUAAUUGAUUAGCUACAAAAUGUGGGUCAAUAUAGAUGUCAUUUUCUCACCGAAAGCCCCGUUAAACACGCAAGCGUGGUUUGUUUGGUUUUUCUCCAAAUUAAUAGGCCCCUCAAAAUGCAUUAACAUCGCCCACAAACGAACCCUAGCAACCAUAGCUAGUAGCCUAGCUAGUAUCGCAAAUACCUUGCCCACUUAAAUUCUCUUUCUUUACUCCUUAUUUAUGUUAGACUAAGAUCAAGAUUUAUGUAGUGUUUAAUUACUGGAGUGGGAGUGUGGAGUGUGGAUUCCUCCCACUCCAGUGUUUACUUACCUUAAAAAAGAGGGGAGUGGGAGUGGGAAUCUGUGGGUCCCACUCAAUUUUGGAGUGGGGAGUGGGAUUCCCACUCCC
rnacentral:lncRNA from 1 species